AUGGGAAGGUGCUUUUCCACUGCCGCCGUGGCACCCGGGAAAAAGCUUGAGGCAAAGGAGGGGCAAAAAAAAAAAAAAAGGAUCAAGCGUUGAAGUUCACUCUUGAUGGCACCCACCCGGUUGGAAGACGCAAUCGUGCAUGCUGCUAAUUUUGAGCAGUUUUUGCAAGAGAGAAUCAAAGAGAACGGAAAAGCUGGAAACCUCCGGGGGAAGGGCCGUGACCAUGGAGAGAAGCAAGAGCAAGGUCACUGCCAACUUCCAAGGUGCCUAUUUCUGAAAGGUAUUCGAAAUAUCUCACCAAAAAAGUAUUUGAAGCUCAAUCUACGUGAUUGGUUGCGUGUAGUUGCUAACAGCAAAGAGAGUUACGAAUUACGUCACUUCCAAAUUAACCAGGACGAAGAAGAGGAGGAAGAUGAGGAUUAAAAUUCAUUUAUUUGGCAUAUUUUGUAUGAGUUCUUAAAUAAAACAUCGGAAGUAAAAAAAAAAAAAAAA